rnacentral:tRNA from 1 species
GGUAGCUCAGUGGCACAGUGUUUGCCUAACAUGCACAAGACCCUGGGUUCAAUCCCCAGCACCA